CGGGGAUGCCUUAAGUAACGAGCGAGUGAAGCGGCAAAAGCUCAAAUUUGAAAUCUGGUACCUUCGGUGCCCGAGUUGUAAUUUGGAGAGGGCAACUUUGGGGCCGUUCCUUGUCUAUGUUCCUUGGAACAGGACGUCAUAGAGGGUGAGAAUCCCGUGUGGCGAGGAGUGCGGUUCUUUGUAAAGUGCCUUCGAAGAGUCGAGUUGUUUGGGAAUGCAGCUCUAAGUGGGUGGUAAAUUCCAUCUAAAGCUAAAUAUUGGCGAGAGACCGAUAGCGAACAAGUACAGUGAUGGAAAGAUGAAAAGAACUUUGAAAAGAGAGUGAAAAAGUACGUGAAAUUGUUGAAAGGGAAGGGCAUUUGAUCAGACAUGGUGUUUUGUGCCCUCUGCUCCUUGUGGGUAGGGGAAUCUCGCAUUUCACUGGGCCAGCAUCAGUUUUGGUGGCAGGAUAAAUCCAUAGGAAUGUAGCUUGCCUCGGUAAGUAUUAUAGCCUGUGGGAAUACUGCCAGCUGGGACUGAGGACUGCGACGUAAGUCAAGGAUGCUGGCAUAAUGGUUAUAUGCCGCCCGUCUUGAACCAACGGGACCAAAA
rnacentral:rRNA from 1 species